rnacentral:lncRNA from 13 species
AUGAGCCACCACGCCUGGCCUGUAUUAUUAGCUUAUAAUGGAUCAUAUAGGGAGACCAAUCAUGCUCGACUUAAAAUGUUCUCGUCCCCUCUCCUUCCAGCCACUGCUACAGUGAGCAGUUCUAUCCAACCAGCUUCACGUAGCAGCACGCUGAGCAUGCCUCUUCUCACUGCCCGUCCCUGGAUUCUCAGAUGCAGUGGCUGGCUGGGGUGUGCCAUUGAAGUGCCCAGCAGGUGACAGUCCUGUUGUGUCUGGGAAAGCUGGAAGGAAGGAGGAGGAGGAGGAGCAUGAGAGAGAAAAUAUUUUCCCCAACCAGGAAACUGGAAAUGGAGAAACUUCACAAGGAGCUACAGGGGAGCAUCAGCGGUUUCAUCUCUGGUGUUCACUGUGUCCUGGAGUCAGCUCCUUGAAGCCUGCGCAGUUGUCAUUGCUGCUUUGCCAGGUUCUGGCUGUGAGACCCAGCGACUGCCUCCUUCCACACUAUUUCCCAACCCGGGGUUUCUUGUAUCUGAUCUCAUCCCUCCCCUGCCCUUUGGACUUGACUUUGGACUAAUUUGACAACACAGCAGCCCCAUUAUGUCUGAUGUGAUCCGUAAGCUAGAGCCUUUGCUGAGCUGGCAUCUCUCCACCUCCACCCCUGCCCCAAGAAACUGGAGUUCGGAAUCUUUAGAUAAGAAGCUGCAGAAGGAACAACGCAAACAAGCUUUGGGCUCCCUCAUUUCAUGUCUUGUGAGCAACUUCUAUGAGUUAUGAGAAAGUUAUCUUGAUUGAAUCCUAGCCUUGCACAACACAAAGGGAUCAGAAAUUGUCAGGCUGUGAUUUUUCAGAUAAAAAACUGAAGCUUAGAAAAUGUAUAUAACUUCCCCUAAGCCCAUAACAAACUUUCAGGAGUGCCAACAUGAGAACCCAAUUCUCCCGACACUGUGGACUCCUGACCUCGCACGGGGCUAUUUCCACUCUGCCAUGCCAUGUCUUUGGCUGCUGUAUUUCCAGCUGCAAAUUUCCAGAGCUUCAGGGAUGUAUAAACAGUAAACUUUGACACCUUCACUCAAAGCAGAGAAUUGAAAACAUUACUGGGUAUAUACCCAAAGGACUAUAAAUCAUUCUACU